UCCGGUGACAAUGGCGGAGAGGUCACACCCGUUCCCAUCCCGAACACGGCAGUUAAGCUCUCCAGCGCCGAUGGUACUUGGGACGGUGGUCCCCGGGAGAGUAGGACGUUGCCGGAU
rfam:Heliobacterium modesticaldum Ice1, complete genome.